GAUGAACGCUGACAGAAUGCUUAACACAUGCAAGUCAACUUGAAUUUGGGUUUUUAACUUAGGUUUGGGUGGCGGACGGGUGAGUAACGAGUAAAGAACUUGCCUCACAGCUAGGGACAACAUUUGGAAACGAAUGCUAAUACCUAAUAUUAUGAUAAUAGGGCAUCCUAUAAUUAUGAAAGCUAUAAGCGCUGUGAGAGAGCUUUGCGUCCCAUUAGCUAGUUGGAGAGGUAACGGCUCACCAAGGCGAUGAUGGGUAGCCGGCCUGAGAGGGUGAUAGGCCACAAGGGCACUGAGACACGGCCCUUACUCCUUCGGGAGGCAGCAGUGAGGACUAGUGGACAAUGGACCAAGAGUCUGAUCCAGCAAUUCUGUGUGCACGAUGAAGUUUUUCGGAAUGUAAAGUGCUUUCAGUUGGGAAGAAAGAAAUGACGGUACCAACAGAAGAAGUGACGGCUAAAUACGUG
rnacentral:rRNA from 1 species